CUGAACCAGCCAAGUAGCGUGAAGGAUCACUGCCCUUUGGGUUGUAACCUUCUUUUAGAUGGGAAUAAAGUUGUCCUCGUGUGGAUUUUUGUAUGUACCAUAUGAAUAAGGAUCGGCUAACUCCGUGCCAGCAGCCGCGGUAAUACGGAGGAUCCGAGCGUUAUCCGGAUUUAUUGGGUUUAAAGGGAGCGUAGGCGGAUUGUUAAGUCAGUUGUGAAAGUUUGCGG
rnacentral:rRNA from 2 species